GGUUUCAGUCCGAUUGCCCCUGGAAAGGGAGCCGGCCGGGAGCGGAGGGGGGCUGGCUGGACCCUUCAGAGAUCACCUCGCCGCUGCGCCGAGACGCGGGGAUGCGGCGGCUGCCGCCCCAGCCGACCCGCAGCGGCUGCGGAGAAGAGGGAUCUCAGGGUCCGGGGAGGAGCGGGAGGAGAAUCUCGACCCCAGCCCUGGAGGGGAGGAAAAAAACAAACGAACCAGCCGAGCAGCCGACCGCGAUCACACGGGAGACGGAGGGACCUGGGAGCAGAAGACCCUAAAGUGAAGCGUGGAGGCAGAACCAGGAGUUAUCCGCAGCCAGCAGCAGCCCCGUUCCCCGUCUUUGGAUGGCGAACCAUCCAAAGGAGCGUUGCUCGCUAAUCCGGGGUGACUCCGGUUCCUUCGCCGCUCGGCUUCCGCUUUU